rnacentral:tRNA from 1 species
GGAUAGGCCAGUGGUGAGCCAGUCUUCCACCCGACAAUCCAAAUCACCACUAAGCAUGUAGAAAGCGCGACGUUUUCCUUGACUGGACCAGGGUUCAAAUCCCUGCGUCUCCA